CCCUAGCCGCUCCUGCAGGUUGGAUACCAGCUCAUCACCAACAUCGAGGUGAUGAACGAUGCUAGGAAGGAGGUCGCCCAAGUGGAGGAAGGUCACCUAGCUGAGGUCGCCCACCUCAAGAAAAAGAUUGCCGAGGUCGCGAGUUUCCAAGAGGCACUGCAGAAGGAGGGGUAGAUCUCGACAGACUUGAGGGCCACCUUGGAGGAGGAGAGAGAAAGUAGAGGCCGAGGUUUUCGAGUUGAAGGCACAGAUCCCAACCCUGAUCUCGGAGGCAAUGGUCCAGGC
rnacentral:lncRNA from 1 species